rnacentral:sRNA from 1 species
AGUCAGGACCCACCCUGCGCAAACACCUCAUUUCUUGAUCAUGGAAUGCAAACAACAGGUAAAACCAUUUUCAAGUCUUUCCCAGAAAAUGAAACGGAGACAUGUAGAACGGAAUGUGAAAACGAAUACUUGUGCCGAGUUUUUAUGUUUCACAACGAUACGUGCAGUCUAAGUGCAAGUGACUUAAACCCACUGACUUUACGAUUUGCAAAAUGUCAGGAAUGGUGUUUAAAUGACGUUGCUUGCGCUGGGUUUACCUAUUCUACUGACGACGAGAAAUGUUCACUGAGUAACAGCAAAGAAUCACUGCACUCUGCCUGGGCAUCCCAUCGAUUCUACGAGAAAACAUGCAAGUCAAAUUCCACUAAUCCACAGCCACAAAGCUGCAACAACAUGACCUUUUUCGAUCAAGGUCAAAAUACAAAGGCGAAGUCCUUUUACAACACAUUUCCUGGACACAACGCAUCCACCUGCCAAAAGAGUUGUGAAACUGACAACCUUUGUAGAGCCUUCAAAAUAGCGAACAGAACGUGCAAACUAAGUGCCAGUGAUUUGACCCCUAGUAAUGUACCUCUUGAAAAAUGUCAUGAGGACUGCAUGUAUGACGUAACCUGUUUUGGUUAUGAAUAUGAUGAUCUCAGGCAAGAAUGUUCAUUGAGUGACGUCAGAAUCUAUGGCGAAGACCUUGCUUGUAACUCGUGCCACUUCUACGAAAAAGCAUGCCAAUCUGACUUCUCUGAAAUACACUGUGUUGGUGCCACACCAUUGUUUCAUCAUAGAACUUACUACAGGAACGGACUCAUUAUUAAUGAAACCAUGACACCGUCUUUUCUUCACUGCAACGAAAUGUGUUUACAAGAGAUGCAGUGUAGAGAUUUUCAAUAUAAUUCUACAUCAGAAUUAUGUCGUAUGAACGCCGCCGACUUUCGGGCUUCGGUGGUUGGUUCCCUGACAGAAUGUGAAUUUCUAUGUGCAGUGGACGCCCAUUGCUUGGGCUACUUUUUCAAAGCGGAUGAAAAGAAGUGUCGGCUAAGCAACUCAAACGUUAGCGAAUACAACCCAAGGUGUGGAUAUUGUAUGUUCUCUACAAAACAGUGCUCAAAUGAUAUAACGCUGGACCAAACCUCGACUCAACAGAAUAACACCAUUUAUCAUUCUGUUUGUUAUACAUAUCAAACGUUGCAAACCACCGAGGAUUCUUACAAUCCUAAUACAACAGUUUCUAGUUGGACAGAGUGUGAAGAUCAAUGUUCAAAAAUUUAUACUUGUAAAAGUUAUAGUUUCGACUCGGAUGGCAGUAACACAUGCCUUUUAAGUUCAUCAACACAGUCAGUGCCGUCUGGUUCCUCUACAUCUUUUUUCGUAUUGAAACACCCUUGUGAGAUAAGUUCAGUUUUAGUUACGGAAUCUAUAUCGAUGACAACAUCUUAUCAAACAGAUUCAGGAUCAUCAGCGAGUUCUUCUUCGUCACACCAGACAUUUCUAUCAACAAUGGCCUCCUCCUCCUCCUCCUCCUCCUCCUCCUCCUCCUUAGCGACAACAACAGCUGUAAAAUCAGUUACUACAGCAACGAAUCCAUUCCAAUUAACAUCAGAGACUACUUCAGUACUUUCAACCACGAUAGAAGUAUCAACACAAGAAGCCUCCUCCUCCUCCUCCUCCUCCUCCUCCUCCUCCUCGAAUUUAUUUCAAUCAACAUUUCCAAUAUCGUCAUCAUCACUUUCGGCAAUUUCUUAUUCAUCACCAUCUCUACCAAUAUCAAAUUCUACGGAUUCAAACAUAGGAAACCACACAGAAACUGUCCAAAUCACAAACGGAUCCGUACAAUGUGUUUGCAUUUGUCGUGAAAAUAACUUCACAGUACAAGAAACAAUUAUGAUAAGGAAACAAGCUUUAUCUGUAGCGAAGGUAGGCCUUGCGUCCUAUUUACGGAAACAAACAAGUGCCCCGGAUAAUAGGCCCUCAUCAACAGCAAUUGGAUCUGUUGGAGCAGCAAUGAUAAGCUGCUUCGUGGUGAUAGUCAUGCUGUCAGAUAUGAUAUCUGCUGUGUGUUACUUUCACAACGUAACGAAUAAGUGUAAGGCUAAAAAUGGCACAUCAUCUCACAAUGAAUCGACAAAAGUCUAA